UGUAGAAUAAGUAAAGGGAUACGAAUACUUUCUGAAGACACUGUAUAUGUUAGCGACGAGUGUGAACUCUGAGAUGUCCACACUCGAAAGUACAGUGGCUAGGUUUUAGGGAGCUUUGAAUUAGAGGUCAAUACCAUACUUAAGUUUGACAUGCUGUUUCUGUUUGUGACUCGCAGUUGUUUAAAGGUUUCUACAACAACACCCUGAAGUUUAAUUUCUUCCCAGCUGUAGUGGUGUAUUCAUUUUUGCCCUGAUCCACCAUGGGCCCAUACUUUGAUUAAAUACACAUACAAUAGCCUAUUUAGGUUGUCAUCUGUUGUUGUUUAUCUAUGUAGCUAUAUCUUUAUGAAAUGACCAGCAACCUUAUUAUUAUUAUAUUAUUAUCCUUCAAGUGCUCCACCUAUGACGUCAGUGAAGAGUUACAAUGUGUACAAACGCAUCUUCAAGACAGUCAGCACAAGGGUAAUUUGAUAAUACUUUGUAUCAGACCAUACAGACAUGUGAUAGACCCCUCCUAGGAACACUGUUAGACGGUCACUUUGGUCUUGUCAUUGCUCUUCGCAACAUUAUCAUGCAACCCUGCCUUUAACCUCUGUUGCCUACCUGUGGUCCUAAUGGGUUUUAUAUCUCCAGUGGAGGCUGGAGGCUGAGCCACCAAAGGACGGUGAAGACACAGGAGAUGGUGCUUUCAGAGAAGAGCCGGGGGCUGCAGGAGGCCAUGAAUUUGCAUUGGAUGUGGCAGUCUCAGCAUGGUUUUGUAGAGAAACAGGGAUGUGGUGGUUGACGUCAGUGUGUCGCUGCGGCUCUGUGACUCGUGUGGGGACAGUCACAAGGACCGACGCUUUGCAUAUGACAGGUACCCCUGUUCUUCACAGUAGGAUUAGGGUUACCUCACGGUUAACCUGCCCUCCAUGAAUAGUGGCUACCUGUAGUUCACUGCACAACUCUGCAGUUGGAGACAACCAUGUAUCUGAAUAAAGCAUGCAUUUAACUUU